rnacentral:rRNA from 1 species
UACGAAGGGGGCUAGCGUUGUUCGGAAUCACUGGGCGUAAAGGGCGCGCAGGCGGCUGCUCAAGUCAGGCGUGAAAGGCCUGGGCUCAACCCGGGAAUUGCGCUUGAGACUGGGCUGGCUUGAGUGCGGGAGAGGAUGGUGGAAUUCCCAGUGUAGAGGUGAAAUUCGUAGAUAUUGGGAAGAACACCGGUGGCGAAGGCGGCCAUCUGGACCGCAACUGACGCUGAGGCGCGAAAGCGUGGGGAGCAAACAGG